rfam:Oesophagostomum dentatum strain OD-Hann O_dentatum-1.0_Cont3526.5, whole genome shotgun sequence.
GCCUCAUUGGCUUCAGGGGUGGAGCGUCUGUUUUGUAAACAGAAGGUCGCUGGUUCGAUUCCAACAUGAGGCG